AUUGAACGCUAGCGGGAUGCCUUACACAUGCAAGUCGAACGGAGUGGCGAACGGGUGAGUAAUGUAUCGGAACGUGCCCAGUAGCGGGGGAUAACUACGCGAAAGCGUAGCUAAUACCGCAUACUAUUGGAGCGGCCGAUGUCGGAUUAGCUAGUUGGUGGGGUAACGGCUCACCAAGGCGACGUUCCGUAGCUGGUUUGAGAGGACGACCAGCCACACUGGGACUGAGACACGGCCCAGACUCCGCCGGUAGGCAGCUGUGGGGAUUUUUGGACAAUUGGGUAUACCCUGAGCCCGCCAUCCCGCGUGUGCGAUGAAGGCCUACGGGUUGUAAAGCACGUUUGGCAGGAGAGCGGUACCUGCAGAAUAAGCACCGGCUAACUACGUGCCAGCCGCCGCGGUAAUAC
rnacentral:rRNA from 1 species